rnacentral:rRNA from 1 species
AGGGGACCUUCGGGCCUUGCGCUAUCAGAUGAGCCUAGGUCGGAUUAGCUAGUUGGUGAGGUAAUGGCUCACCAAGGCGACGAUCCGUAACUGGUCUGAGAGGAUGAUCAGUCACACUGGAACUGAGACACGGUCCAGACUCCUACGGGAGGCAGCAGUGGGGAAUAUUGGACAAUGGGCGAAAGCCUGAUCCAGCCAGGCCGCGUGUGUGAAGAAGGUCUUCGGAUUUAAAGCAAAGGAGUUGGGAGGAAGGGC